AUAUUGCACAAUGGGGGAAACCCUGAUGCUGCGUCGCCGCGUGAGCGAAGAAGGCCUUCGGGUCGUAAAGCCCUGUUCUAAGUGAAGAAACGGACGGUACCUUAUGAGGAACCCCCUGCUCACUACCUUCCAGCAGCCGCGGUAAUACGUAGGGGGCGAGCGUUAUCCGGAAUUAUUGGGCGUAAAGGGUGCGUAGGCGGCCUUUUAAGUCAGAUGUGAAAGGCUAAGGCUUAACCGUAGUUAGCAUUCGAAACUAAAAGGCUUGAGUGCAGGAGAGGAGAGUGGAAUUCCUAGCGUAGCGGUGAAAUGCGUAGAUAUUAGGAGGAACACCAGUGGCGAAGGCGACUCUCUGGACUGCAACUGACGCUGAGGCACGAAAGCGUGGGGAGCGAACAG
rnacentral:rRNA from 1 species